rnacentral:rRNA from 1 species
UACGAAGGGGGCUAGCGUUGUUCGGAAUCACUGGGCGUAAAGGGCGCGUAGGCGGCUGUUCAAGUCGGGGGUGAAAGCCUGUGGCUCAACCACAGAAUUGCCUUCGAUACUGGAUGGCUAGAGACUGGAAGAGGUUGGUGGAACUGCGAGUGUAGAGGUGAAAUUCGUAGAUAUUCGCAAGAACACCGGUGGCGAAGGCGGCCAACUGGUCCGGUUCUGACGCUGAGGCGCGAAAGCGUGGGGAGCAAACAGG